UUGAAAGGGAAACGAUUGAAGUCAGUCGUACCAGCGGGAAAUCAACCUUUCGAGUGGUGUUUUGGAGUUUUGAAGUGUGUCAAAACCUUUGAGAUUUUAAAAUUUUCGCUCUUUUGGUGUACUUUCUCGUGGGUAGGUUAACAUCGAUUUUGAUCAUCAUAAAAGGACUGGAGGAAUGUAGCCUCGAUCUUGUAUUGAAGUGUUAUAGCCUUUGGUAAAUGUGAUGAUUAGGAUCGAGGAUUGCAACGAAUACCCUUCUGGGCUAUCCGCCUGAUCUCUGAUACGUGGCCUUGGCAUCGAAAGCUUGCUUAUGGUAUCAAGGUAUUACGGUCAAAAGGUUAGAACGGAUUACAUUCGUUAAGGAUGUUGACGUA
rnacentral:rRNA from 1 species